GGGGAGAUGGCUCAAUGGUGAAGAACACUUGUUGCUCUUAAAGAGGAUCUGGGUUCAAUUCCCAGUAUCCACA
rnacentral:tRNA from 1 species